rnacentral:piRNA from 1 species
UGUACGGCCUAACUUGGACAAUACCUAGC